rnacentral:rRNA from 1 species
AUACGGAGGUGGUUAGCGUUGUGCGGAAUUACUGGGCGUAAAGCGCACGUAGGCGGACUGGAAAGUUGGGGGUGAAAUCCCGGGGCUCAACCCCGGAACUGCCUCCAAAACUUCCAAUCUAGAGAUCGAGAGAGGUGAGUGGAAUUCCAAGUGUAGAGGUGAAAUUCGUAGAUAUUUGGAGGAACACCAGUGGCGAAGGCGGCUCACUGGCUCGAUACUGACGCUGAGGUGCGAAAGCGUGGGGAGCAAACAGGAUUAGAAACCCCGGUAGUCC